GGGUAAAMCUGAGAAACCCGAAAGGUCGAAGGGAGAAAUUCAUUCGCGUUUCGAUGUAGGCGUCGGACGGGGUCGAGUGACGGAACGCGUGUUCUUUACGGAACCGCGUUUCGCGCCCUCCGUUCGUGCGAACCGACAACGAACGCGUGCACUUUUCUCCUGGUAGGACGUCGCGAUYCGUCGGGUGUCGGUCUACGACGGGCGGUGGAGCCCGUUCGUCGUCUUUAUUGUACGUACGAACGGACCCGCUCGUUCUGGCCGACUCGCUCGACGGUAUACGUGUAUGGUCGGAGGCCGCUCGAAUAAAUUAAAGGAGCGUUCGACUCGUCGCAAGCGCGCCACGUGUUUCGGCACGCGGACCCAGUGCCGCGUCCGAUCUCUGGUGACUGUUGGCGAMGAUGUUCUCGGACAGACCUCUUUUCUUUUUUUUUUUUCGGAAAAAAAAAGAGAGACCGAUCGGCGACGCUAUAGCUUUGGGUACUUUCAGGACCCGUCUUGAAACACGGACCAAGGAGUCUAGCAUGUACGCGAGUCAUUGGGAAUCGCUAAACCUAACAGGCGUAAUGAAAGUGAAGAGUCUUCCUCGCGAAGACCGAGGGAAGACGGACGAUUAAAUUAUAAUAAACCACCCUAAAAARGUGGGAUCGUCCUGCAUUCCCGGRGCGUCUCGUUCACAUUGCGUGAAGAGGCGCACCAAGAGCGUACACGCUGGGACCCGAAAGAUGGUGAACUAUGCCUGGUCAGGACGAAGUCAGGGGAAACCCUGAUGGAGGUCCGUAGCGAUU
rnacentral:rRNA from 1 species